rnacentral:lncRNA from 1 species
CGGCGGAUGGAGGCGAGGAUGCCGAUCAUGGCGGAGACGGAGUGGCCAACAUAGGCGCAGCGGUUGACGCCGAGGGCGUCGAGAAUGUUGAGGAGGUCGUCAACGUAGGCGUCGAGGGUGGUGUAGCGGCGGAAGUCGAAGUAGUCCGGGUUGACGCUGCCGGCGCAGACGAGGUCGUAGAGAAUGACGCGGUAGUAUGGCGUGAAGUACUGGAGAAUGCGCUGCCAGGCGGACUGGUCGGUGCCGAAGCCGUGGGCGAAGACGACGUACUUAUCGCCGGAGCCAACGACGCGGACGUUGAGAGCGUUGAGGAUGGUGGUGCUGACCAUGUUUGACUGUUAAAUUUUUGGGGGAGGAUUGAAGUCAAUGGGAAUUAGGUGGAGAGUGGCGAGUGGAUUGUGGAGGAGUGUUGUGGUAUUUAUAUUGGUAAGGGAGUAUCAAAAUCUUUGUUUGGAGGGAAGACGAUUGGCAGCAUUUUGUUGGUUUGGGUGAGAAUUGUGAUGGAGAUUGUGACAGGUUUGUUUUUUUUUGUGUUGUGGAGCUUUGCGUUUUAUGCAGGAGUGACUGGUGAACAUAGGACAAAAGAUUUCUAUCAUGUGUGAUAAGGCUUGGAGUGUGAUGGUUCUCUCACUUAGUUGGCAUUAUAAAGAGGUGGCUCGUGUGAUUUAGAUGAGAGAAAUGGGUUAAGGUGGCUUGGCUAUAGAGAUUUCGGUUAGAAGAUGUGAUCAUGAGACGGAAGCUCAAGUCAAAUGGAAUAGAGGAAAACCUAAGAAUACUUGGAGUUAACGGAAGAUUUGGCACAUAACAGAGUGCAGUGGCGUUCUAUGAUUUAUAUAGCAAACUCUACUUAGUGGGCUAAAGUUUGGUUGUUGUUGUUGUUUGUUUGUAAUGAAUAUUCUUAAGUCAAGACGAACGAAUCAUGUGGUGGUAUCGUUGGAAGUCUCAAAAACACGAAAAACCUCACUCUUUCAACUUUACGGUCUCUCACUCUUUUGUGGGUUGGGGUGUGAUAUCCACACAUCAUUUUUUACUUUUCACACACCCCUUCUAAUUUUCGGCUGUCGGAUCAGAUGAAAUGAAGAAGAUUAACGGACAGAAAUUAAGAAAGGGUGUGUGAGAAGUAAAAAUUGGUGUGUGGAUAGCACACCCCUUGUGGGUUUAAUUAUAAUUAAAUGGCACAUGGUCCAUUCAUUUUGACUUAAAAAUUUCAUGUAGCACAAGAGAAAUACAAAACAUCAAACCUGAAAUGAAAAAACAUAAAUGUAUGGCAAAUUUGAAAAUCACAUUGUCAUGAGCAGAAACGAGAAUAUAUAAUUAUGUACGUAUCUCACUCUUCAAAAGAUGAAGAUAUACAAUAAUGUGAAUUCUAUAACGUAAACACCAAAUUACACUAAUAUUGAUUUUGAGUAGAGAAAAAAAGGUAAUUACCACCUAAGUUGUAUGUUUAGCAUGGUAUUUUGUGGAUAAUUUCUCACAAAUAUAUGUGUGUAGUUCAACAAAAACCAAAAGCCAACUUUAAUCAUGAAUGAUAUGACUCCUGAUCAUGUAGCAAAGGCAUGCUUGUCUCUGGAUAACACUUUGACAUGUACCAGACCUCAAGCAACUAAUCCAAUUGGUAGUAUUAGUUUAUUCUAAUUGGGGAUUAUCCUCAUGGUGAACUUCUGAUUAGAACUUGAGUUAUUGGGUAAUGGUAUGUUUCAUAUGGAUAUUGUUGGUCAAAAGCAAACGUGAAGUUAGCUAAAAUGAUGAAAACACAAAUCUCAGUCGCUGAAAUAAUUACUUUUUGAAAUUUUGUCAAAAUGUCAUCAAAAUCUAAUUGAUAACCUCAUUAAUAUUCGAUCAAUAUGCCGUUGUUAUUUAAUUUUGAUUAUUUUAACAAAUCCUCACUUCGGCCAAUUUUCCAAAGUACAUCGCUUACCUAUAUCACUAGCAUUUUUCCAUGUGGUCCAGCUUCCUGGUAGCAAAAGGUGUGAGAAAAAUAUGUCACAACUUGCAGAAAGAAACUUCAUAUGUUUUUACAGGCUUUAUGGCAUUGGCAUAUACGGCGACAUCCUGAUAGAGAUGGCAUUUUGCUCUCGAAACACAAACCUAAAUUUCAGAAAAGAUCAAUAAAAAAAUAUAGGGUCGUUUGACAAUUAUACCGCAGUGCUAUGGUAAAAAAAAUCCAUGUUUAUGAACCAUGAUACGAGUUUUUUCCACCAAUGUUCCUCUUCCUAACAAGUAACAAUUUAAACCGCUAGCGUCAUUGGCGAAGGCAGCAUAGGUCAUUGGUUGUACGUGACCUCAACAACUUAAAAAACUCCAUGUAUAUUUGUGUAUUGUAUUUGACCACAUGAACAGUAAGGACAAACUAAUUUACAAAAAUUCUCAUCCUACUUCUUCUAUUUUUUUUUUUAUCAUCCUUGUCUUUCCUUUCUUUCUUCUUGUGUGCAGCUCUAUUGUGCACACUAAAUACUUGAUAAAAUGCCUCAGUUGACAAAUAUUGUCAGUCUUCAACAUUACUCCAUAGUUGUCUGAUUGUCACCUUCAACAAUUGUUGAAGUUGUUGGCAUGUUACCAAAAAUUGACAAGUCUACCAUGUGCUCAACAAAAUGCUCCAAUAAAGUUCUUUUUUUGUUAAAAUCGUGACACCAUUAUUAAAAAAUCAUGACUCCGCCACAAACUAGAUAGCAUUUGUGACAGCCCGUCCCAAGAAACAAUUAUCGUUGAUGUGAAAAGACUAAAAUGCCCUUGGACGUUGAGAUGUGUUGUGUGUGACAUGCUAUUGGAAGUGGACUAAUAUGUUAAAUUCCUAAGUUUUUGGGACCAAUUGGGACUAAAGGAAAUUAGUGGUGAUUGGUUGGUUGUUUGUAAACCACACACACACAAAAGUACCACUUUCUCUCUCACCCUCCCAUACUCUCUCUCUCAGACUCACACAUUCUCUCUCUUCUCUCUUGUACAGACGAGACCCAAAACCCUUGUAAACGUGAUGGAUCGAAGUGGAAAAGGGAACCAUUGUGUUCAUGAAGCUCAGAUAAGUUGAAUGGUACCAUUUUCAGGUAAGAACUCCUUUGAAAACUCGUGAAAUCUGAACCCCGAUUUGAGGUACUAUUCAUGCUCACGUGAAAUGUUGAUUUUUAGGGAAUUCUAAGGACAUAGGAAGCUUUAGGAGGUCCUAAGGAAGCUUGGAGUGGUUCGUUGGAUGAAAUUGGACAUUGGGAUCGUGAGUUUCAAGCUUAGCUGGAUUUUGUGGAAUUUCUCCGGCGAGAUUCCAUGACUUUUAGAGCUUCAAAUUGGUAAGGAAAUGCUCUUCAAGUUGUAAGCUUCAUUUUGGUGCAAAUUUCGUAGGAAAUGGAUGAAAAAUGAGUGAGAUAUAGCAAUUUGAAAAAUUCCCAGUCUUCUGGCGACGGCGACGGUCGCCGGAGUCUAAGGUUGAAGACGACGGAAUAUUCCGUCAAUUUUGACGAAAUAUUCUGACGCCGUCAGUUAAGUUUAACGAAAUCUGUUAGGAUUUAACAGAAUAUUCCCUAACUGCCGUUACUGUUUCCGUUAGGGCUCCAUGCGCGUGGCCGCGUGUCUUGCCGUGCACUCGCCGGCGCGUGGCGGAACAUAAGUGGAUGAAAAAUUAUUUUAAAAUUAUGGGGAAGAUCCUGAGAUUGUGUAGGUCACUGUGGUAUAUUCAUAUACCCAAUUUGAGCAAUGAAUGACAAGUUAUUAUAUAGUUUAGUAUAUGUGCUUAAAUAACGUUAUUUCAGUACUUCUCCUAUAGGCGAGACCUAUCCGGAGGACAAGCGUAGCCAGGCUAGGCAUAAGGGUUACGACCUAGCUGCAUAUCUGUGAGUGGGCAGUUAUUUUCAGUAUAUAUAUAUAUAUACUUGACGUUUUUCCCAGAAAACGUAUUUAAAGGAAAUGUGAUUUUAAUGCCAUGUCAUAUAUGCCUCAUAUUUUAGUAUAUGCAUUAUCAUAAUUAUGCUUAUCGUUGCAUGGUGCUGUGGAGUCCCAGGUAAGCUACAUGUGAGUACAUUAUGCUGAUAAUGGUUAUUAUAUAUGAUGAUGAGGAUGUUGAGAUGUAUAUUAGAGCUCAUAAUCUGCACCCCGGUGUUAGUGCUUCCGCCCAGAGUUAGGGGCGUAGUCCUUCACGUGAUGUUCAUCUCCCGCACCACACACUCAUCUUGGAUCCAAGUUAGGUGCACAGUCCUGUCGAAUAGACCACUAUAGGUGGUUCUGACUCGUAGGUGACCCGCGAUUUAUCGCACAGUUUUCACGUGAUCGUAGCACUAGAGCGUACUAUUAUUUUACAAACAGUCUUGUCGGUCAGACCACAUGAGGUGGUUCCGACUCAUGUGCAGUUAUGUAUAUACAUGAUGAGAUAUGUGACGUAUAUACGUGAUGAUUUAUAUGAUGAGAUAUGAGAUUGAUGUUGUGAUUGAGAUGAGCUCUAGAUUCUGCCGUAUAGAUCACGUCAUGUGACUUCGGCUAGUAGAUGGUUAUUGUGAAUUGCAUCACCUAGCUUACUUUUGGUAUUUUUAUGCUAUUGGGCAUGACAUAUAUUUAUACAAAUAUGAAUCUUGAUUUAUUGAGCAUGAUUUGAGAUAUAUACAUAUUUAUGUAUUCUAUUUUCUGGGAAAGUAUCUGUAUACUUGUUUUACGGCGAGGGGUUAGUAUAUUCAAAGGAAAAUAAGGUUUUCGUGUAAUUGUGUUUUACUGACCCACUCAACUUUGUUUUUCGCCCCUCCAGGUCUUAGGUAGCUGAAUUUGGUGGUCACGAGUAAUCCAACGGUGUUCUGACAGAAUCUGAAAAAGUAGGAUUCACCUUCGGGUGUUGUAUCUUAGUAAUUGUCUUAUUUGACUGCAACUAGACUUUCUUAUUGCUCUGAAAGUGUAUUUAUACACUUAGACUCUCACUAGCAUCCUAUCUUAACUGAGAUUGCUAGUUGCUUGGUUUUAAAUUGUUCGUAUUUCCUUACUCUUUAUCGCUUCCGCUUUGCGCACAAGGCUACGUCACGCUCACGUGACGGCCAACACGUCUCGACUUCGGUUGGGAUGUGUCAGCAUUAUUGUUUGUCAAAAAAAAAAAAAAAAAAAAUCAAGUGAUAUAUUAAUCCAUACGUAACAGAAAGGCUCUAAAGUUGUUCCAACAUAGAGACUUGCCUGGCAAGCAUUAAUUACCCAAGUUAUAGGAUAAGUACUGGGAAUGACAGAGUCGUGGGUACUUCUACGGAGCUCAAUAUCUAAUUAACAAGCUUAAUCAUGUGCCGAUCGAAGUCUUCGUCGUGUGCCACAUGGCGCUUCUUUUACCCUAGAUCUAUUGAAUGCAUGCCCUAGCAUGGUACAAUUGCUGACAGUUGAAGUGACGUACGGACACCAUGCAUGAUAACGAUGCAUUGGUGGAGGACUCCCAGGUGUGAAACACAUUAGCUAAAUUCUGGAUUAGAUUGAAGGGAAGAUGUGCACAUGAGACGGGCCUGUCCGGACUGAAGUGUUGGAACUAGCCAGGCAAGUAUCACGCCUUGAGAAUGACUUAUGCAUCGAGUUCAUCGUUAUUGUGAUGUUUUGAUGUAAUAAUGUAAUGUUAUUUGCAAGUGUUUUUUUGCAUGACAUUAGAUUGUUGGGCAGAAACUUUUCGCGACGGUGAAUUUAUUUCAUGCAAGUUGCUAUUCAAUAUUCUUGGUGAUCACAUGAACUAUAAUUAAAAUAAUUCUAUCAACAUACAUUGUGGAUAUUACUUAGAGUCUUCCGACUCAUCUUAGGAAUGCGAAUAAUGAUUUUCACAUGUCUAUUUUUAUGAGAUACUGAAUUCUAUCCUGGUAUAUGGAUGAGAUUGUAAUGAGUGUCAUGAGUCAUCUGAAGCAAAGCCAGUGUCCAAGAACAAUGGAUGAUGAACUGGUUUGAUGUAGCUAUAUAGGGCCGGUUACAGAAGAAUCUGAUGCAAUGGGGGUAGCCUUCAACAUAAAGAAAAUAUAUACCAUAUUGAAUGAGAAAUAUGCUCCUUCUUUUUCACGUUGCCGCAUCCAACAAUAGAGGUGGGCGCGGUGCGGUUUCGAGUGAAACCGCAACCGAAACCAAAACAUUUUGCGGUGCGGUUUUGAAGUCAAAAUCGAAAUGAAACCAAACCGUUUGAUUUGGUUUGGUGGGGUUUCAAAUGGUUUCGGUUCGGUUUUUGAGAUUUUUUUUUCUCCUUGGAAUUUUGGUUCUUUUCAUUUUGGUUCGAGAAGGAAGGAAAAAUGUUGAGUCAGUUUUUUUGGGGGGUUUUGAAGAAACGAAGAAUUGAGACGUUUAAUUAUAAACGUAGCCGGUAAGACUCCUAUACUACAGGGGUCACUAGCCAAACCGGCGACUGCCAAUGCCAAGUCAGCAUCUCAGAAUCUGUACUGAAAUAAGCAAAAGGUAGGGAACCAAUAGAACUAUGAAAGAGAUGAAAGGCAACUGGGGUUGGAGGAAACCCUUUUGGGAUACAAAAGCCAUCAUUAGGUUUAUGAUAAAUCCAGCCACGGUAGCAACCAUAUUCCAAAACUGGUAGCUAAAGGGGGGCUUGCUUUUACAGGUUUAUGCUGGUUGUUUAGGAUGAGCACGAGAAUCAGCCAUGAGAAGAAAAAUGAAAGGGAUGACAUUCUGUCUGGUGGAAAAUGACUUCCGUCGAAUAGAGGUGGAAAAUGGAAAGGGAUGACAUUCUAGUGUAGUUGAGUCUAUACUAUAAAUGUAUGGACUCAAAUAAAGAACCAAUUAAAACAUGACAUUUAAUAUAUGGUGCUGUUUCGGUUUUGGUUCAGUUUUGAAAACCCAAAACCGAAACCAAACCGUUUUCCUAACUGCAGUUUGGUUUCGAAACCGCAAAACUGAACUAUUCAGUUCAGUUUGAUUCAUGUUUCGGUUUCGGUUUUCGGUUCCAAGUGCCCACCCCUAUCCAGCAGUCUCCUCAGACUUGGUUCGAGAUAUGAAGUUUAGUUAUGGCGAAGAUCAAAUGGUUUCCAGAGAAACAAUGUUGAUCAUUCCGUCUUCAUAAAAAGAAAUCACAUAUGAUAUUGGAUCCAUUGCAAGAAAUAGAGAAAUAACGAAAGUUGUGGAUGCUAUAGAGACACAUGGCCAAUAGGGAUAUUUAUUAUUUACUAUGUGUCUAGCUCGCUAGAUAUGUUGAAUCGUGCAUGUGUGUUAUAUUAUUUUUAUACAUUUAUCGUGUGUUAGAAAACUGAAUUGGAAGUGUCGAUUGUUUUGUAAUCGCUAUUCAUUUGCAUAUAUAAAUAUUAAUAUGUAGUAAUAUUAAAAAUCUGCCUAAAAGCUAGUACCGGUAAACAUCGAAAUGGCAUGUAACUUGUUAAAACUAUAACCUCUUCUUCUUAUUUGAGAAUUUCAUAGGAUUCAAAGUCCUAUAUUUAUAUACAAAAAAUUUAAGUGCGUAGUUGAAGUAAAGUACAUAAAAUCAGGUAAGAAGAUAAAAAAUAUCAAUUACGGGAAUUAAAGAGAAAAUUUAGGUGACAUAUGAUGCAGCUAAUUAGCUUAUCUAACUAUCUAUAUAUAUAGCCUAAGAAAUAAAGUAGGGUUCCAUCAAUUGGAUGAAGGCAUGUGAGCUAGAAAGUUUUGCAGGUAAAGAUAUAAAAAAUUUGUGUCCCCCACUCCUUUGAUACUUGUCAAUACAAUUAAUGUUAGGAAGAGAGAGUAAUGGAAGAAGAGAAGUGAGUACAUAUAUGAUGUAUUUGUCGAUUUGUUUCCGAUUCUGUAUAGAGCUGUGAAUUUUCUCUCUACUUUAUUUUUAGUCGAUUAUCUUUUUGAACUUUUAUAAUUAACUAAUUUUCUCAUAAAUUUUAAUUUUAGCCGAUUAUCUUUCUCAACUUAUAUAAAUAGCUAAUCUUUCUUCUGGCAUUAGAUUUUAAACCUUUCAUCCAUCCAAUUUUUUCAUCUUUUUUGCCCUUAUACAGUUGUCAUAUGUUGUCCGCGUGACCAAGAUGGAUAUAAAACUAGCCGUACGAUGCACGAUGAACGAAUUCGAUUGGAGAAUUCUCAGAAUCCUCACAAAGAGAAUCUGGCGAGGAUCCUCUCUCAUACUAGUUGUACAUGCAAUAUCUUUGGGUUGAGAUUGGUGGUGACGAGUCAUAAAGCUUAUCAUCUUAUCUAGUUCACUUUAUUGGCCUUGCUUUUCUAUACUCUACUUUGUUAUAUGUAGAAUCUUCAUGUUAUCCUUGACUUGGCCAUGGCUAAUUAGAAAGGGGUGCCCUAUGCAAGCACAUGCACUUUACUUAUUAAUGCUAGAGCCUAAAAUAUAAACUCUUCACUCACCCACUCUGGUCAUAACCAAUACUUUUUCCUAUAUUCAUGCCUAAGAGUAGAUUUAUUUAAUGCCAAGAAUUGAACAAUCUCUUUAUAAUACUGGAUUCACCCAUCUAGUAGUUGAAGAAGGUUGAGAGUACGGGUGCUUUUCUAAGAUUUAAACAGUUGACUCCACUUAGUGGAAGAAAUUUUGUUGUUGUUGUUGUACCAAAAACCAACAGUCAUUUUUGGCUGUUCUCCUCCGUUGCAAACCUGUUUCAUCCAAAUUCACCAACUUCCCUCAAAGUUCACGAAAACUUGCCCACCAACAAAAAAGUUUGGCCAAAAACACCACACCAAGCUAUAUACAUAAAAAUUUUGAAUUCUUCACUGCUUACAUUGUUUAGCUAAAAGUAUAUCUAUUUUGGCUAUGAAUUAUUCCAUUUUAGUCAAUGAGAAAUCAAUCGAUAUCUUUCUUAAGCUAUCUUAUAUUAUUAGGCCAUCAAAACUCAAAAUUCAAUGACGUUUAUGUCAAGGGAAUAGCCACUCAUAUCAUUCAUCGAAGUUGUAAGUUUUUGUUAAAGAAAAUUAUUGUUAUCUAUAUUAUUAUUAAGAGAAGAGCCCUUGUCAACUUUUUUCCCCACUUUUGUCAAUUUUGCCCUCAUUUUUGGAUACACAAUAUUGAGAUGAGUAGGGCAAAAUAGUAAUUUUGUACCUUUUGACAAAAUGACAACAAUAUCCCUAUUUUUCUUAUUUUACCCUCCUUUUUAUACUUAUUUUCCAAUUUUACCCUCACUUUUGAUACACAAUACUUACAUAAGGAGGACAAAACAGUAAUUAUGUAAUAUUAAAAAAAUAAGCACUUAUUAAGACAAAUUGUUCACACACACAAAGUGUGUGCUCUCUGCUAGUUAUUAUUAAAGAGAAGGAUGACAGUUCAAAAUUAUUAUAUUAAUUUAAGGGAGAAUAAAGUUUUGAACCCGGAACGUAUGAUCCUAAAUCCAACACCAUAACCACUAAAAUAUUAGACCACAUUAAAGUUGUAAUUAGGUAUUCAUCAAUAACUAAUGUUGGAAUUUUGAAAUUGUUUUUCUUUCCCACUAAGUUGGGUUUUAUGUGACAUGCCAUCUUAUAAACCAACACAUGGUACUACCAAUAACCACGGUCCCUCAAUAUUUCAAAGGUGAAAAGUAGCGUCCUUAAUUAUUGUUGAGCUGAAUUUGACAAAAAAAAAAAAAAAUUAUUGUUGAGCUGAAAUAUUACAAAAGAGAGGAAUAUGUAUAUACUUUGAACUUGUAUAAGUCCAUGAACCUAGUUUUUGUCAUUGAUUCCAUGUCCACUAAAAAAGGCUGGUUUGGAUAAUCCAUUUCUACUUUUUAGUUUUUUCUUCCAUUUUCAUGGACCAACUUCAUUCCACUUUUCAAUCCCAACCCUCCAAACAUAUUUUGAGCAAUUUUUGUGUACAAUAAACACUUGUCAUAUGAUAUAUUUUUUUACAUGAUACAAUAUAAGUGAACGGCAAAAUUAAUGCAUUGUAUUUCUAUAUUAAAAAAUAAAAUUGAGCAUAAAAUCUCCCAACAUUUUUAGUGUCAUUUUAAAUUGGUCUCAACUUUUUAAGCAUUACAAACAAGUACUCAAUCUAUUGAAAUGUCACAUCUGUUAGACUCUAAUUAAAUUUCUGUUAAAUAACUAGGUUCACAUUGUCUCAAAAAUCAAUAAAUUAUGGAAGCAUGGCCUCCACCAACUAACAGUCACCACCAUUCCAUCAGGCCAUCACCUCCAAAUCCAACUCCACCCAAAAACUCAAGCUGCCAACAUUCAAAAGAAGGUCAUGGGGUUUCGGUAGUUGUAGGUUGAGCUUGGACGUGGUGACACUUGAUAUUUCUCAAUCUUCAUUUUUGUUUUCCAUUUUAUUUGUGAAUUUGUUUAUUUAUUUUGUCAUCUUCAUGUCUUUUUAAGUUAUUUUUAUUAAUAUUUUAUUGUUCAUGUAAGCUAAAAAGUGAGACUCAUCGUUGCCACAUGAACAUUUAACGAAACAAUUAAUUAGAGAUUAACAGAUGUGACAUUUCCAAUAAUUUGUGCAAGGCUAGCCCUAAGAAUUUGGAGGCCUUAGGCGAGCCUUCAAAAGGGGUCCUAGAGUUCUCUGACCCCCAACUCUUUGUAUAUUGAUAUGUAUAAAAAUAAAAAAUAAAAUCGCUAAAUACGUGAAAAAGUCAAUUUUUACGUCAAAUAUCAUUAAAAAUUAAUAUCAAAAGGAGAAAGAUAUACAAACAUUACUUACAUAUUACCCGUCUCGUGUUUUUACACGUAAAUGCAACAAUCAACAUUCAACUCAAUAUCCUAAAACAACAAAUUGAGAGAGAAACAAACUGAAAACACAAAUUCCACCCAUUAUCCAUAUAUUAUAUAUUAAUAUAUGGAAAACUGACCAAAACACCCAAAAAACUUUCUUUUUAAUCAUUAGGACAAAACUUAGCAAAAAUGCCAAUCAUACCCUUCACACAUGCAUACAAGAUUGCAGCAAUGAAGGUGACACUUUCAGAAAAAAUUUGCAUGGCACAAUUGAGGUGGCAAACAUUGCAGCAACCAAAACAAUAUGGGUUCACGUGGCUUUCAGCAGUUUUCAGAAACAGUGUGUUGUCACUAUCCAAAAAGUUGUAAAUAUUGAAAAGUUAUUUUGUUUGGUUUAGGAAUCAGCUUUUGUAUAUAAGAGAGUUUUUCCUCCUAUGCAAGACACCUAUCUGAACAUCUGAAAACAUCAUACCCACUUCAUACACUCAAGCAUUCGUAGCCUUCAUAGCAUCCUUGUAAACACUUCUUUGUAAUCACUUUCUUGUAAACAACUAUCUUUGUAAACAUUCCAUAUAUCAAUAAAAGUUCAAGUGUACAUAUUCAAGCAAUCUCCAAGUCUUAAAUAAGUUUUCUUUUCCUUCCUUAGUGUGUUUGUUUAGUUAGACUUCUAGUCCAAAACAGGGAAACACUAUUGUGAUUAUAUUAUUAACCUGCUAAACUGACGAUUAUACUUUGUUCGAGCACUCUAUUAUAGUUAAAUGCUUGCCAUAUAAAUAACUAGACAUUAACUAGGGUACCUCUGAGUUCUUCGUACCUCUGAGUUCAGCCGUUAAGGCCUUAUACUUGUACUGUGAGUGGCCGUCAUGCUGAAACAUGUUGAGUUCCAUGUGCAAGGUUUUAUGUCUAGUUGUUAUAAUGGUCAUCCGACUAUUUAAUCGAGUAUGCGUUGCGAAUUUGGUAUCAGAGCCAAGUUUAGCAUUUUAAUAGUAUAAUUAUAAUAGUAAAGUACCUUGAGGAUAGAAGUCAUCGAUACAACUAAUAUCAUAUUUUGUUUAUUGUGUAUGAACAACAGAUAUUAUUGUCCAUGUAGACCCUAUCAACCACAAUUACCAGGUAUUUAUUGUCCCAGACAUCCAACUAUAACUAGCAUAAAGAGAAGAUUAGCAUAUAUAUCCAAAAGAAUUAUUAGUACUUUGAAGAAGCAAAAGUUUUAUCUUGGCUAUCUUGACCAUUCUUCAUUUAUUUGUAAAUAUAAUAACACAGAAGUGCAGCAUAAAGUUUCAGAAGCAAAAAGAACAACAGAUCAAGUUUUAGAGACCUUGAGAGAAGAGAGAGAGUUUUUAAGAAACCAGUUAGCCGUAACUCUAGCGAAAGACUAUAGUUUAUGAUAGAUUAUCUUAAUUUAGAAAUUAGUGAACCUCAAAAAAGAAAAAUAACUUUAUACCAAAAUAGUUUAGUUUGUUAUUUUCCAUCAAGAAAGUAUAAUCAUAUUUUGCACAGUGAAGAAAAUUCACAAGCCAAUACUAUUGUAGAUCUUAUUAUUAGUCAAGCAGAAAAUAUAAAAUUAGAAAAUAAUAAGCAUAAUCAUUUGUUAAACCAGUUGUUAGAACAUUUCCAGAAAAAUUCCAAAAAAAUAAUUAGCCAGAAUUUAGACUAUAUUACAUCUCAGUUAGAAGAUAAUAAUAAAAAUAUUCAAAGGUUUCCUAGCAAAAGAGAGGUAAAAGAGCUUGUUGAUCUUAUAGAUAGUAAGCCGAAGCAAGUAGAACUUAGAUCAUUAGAAAUAGUUGAGCAGCUAAAAUUAGAAGUUCAAAAAAUUCAAUUAGUACAAAAAAAAGUUAAGUGAGCAAGUAGAUAAGUUGCAUAAUAAAAUAGAUAAAUUAUUAGUUUAAUGACUGAUUCUAGAACUAGUAUAAAAUAUAUUCAAGCUUUGAAAGAAGUUAGUAAGUUAGAUAAAGAACCAGUAGGUUUAACAGAUUUUUCAACACAAGUAUCCAAUAGUAAUAUUCCCAUUAGGCAAAAUAAUUUGAUUAUUCAAUUAGUUUUAAGUUUGGCUGCAAAAUUAGAUCAAGUUGAAGAACAAAUAGCAGAAAUAAACCAAGUUUUACAUAACGCAUGUUCAUCACUUCCACCAUCUUUGCUAGAUAAAUUAGAAAAUUUAACUUAGUGCAAAUAAUAAUAGAAGACCUAAGCUAAAUCUUUUUUAUAAUAGAAAAUGGAACUCUUUAGGAAAAAAGAAAAAGAAGUAGUUAAAGCGGAAGAUAUUUAUCCAAAUGGAGAAGAAUAACAAGAAAAUAAUGAAAUAUUAGGAAAUAUUGUUCAUAGUAUAGAAAAACCAAAAAAUAGUUCUUUAAUUACCAUAAAUUGCGAAAUAGAAUUAGUAAAAGAACAUAAGAUACAAACGAUAGCUAUGAUAGAUACAAGGAGUACAAAGAGUGUCAUAAAAGAAGAGUUAGUACCAGAAAAAUGUAGACAAAAAUUAUCAAACUAGUAAGAAUAACACAAUUCGAUGAGAGACCAGUUUACUUAACACAUUGUAUAAAUAAUGAGUUUAUUAAAGUAGAAAAACAACAAUUUAAUUUACCAUUAACAUUUGUUUCACCAGUAGGAUCAUAUCUAUUUAUUUUAGGUUUAAACUUUUUGAAAAGUUUGCAAGGUUUUUUAUUUAUGAACCCUAACAUAACAUUUUUCAAAAGAGGCAUUACAAUAACUGACCAAAGUAAUACUGUAGAAGCAUACAAAAAUAUAAGUAUAGAAGAGCCUAGUGGCCAAGAUAGUUAUCAUUUAGAAAACUCAAAAGAAAAUGAUGAGCGUAAUAACGUAGAAGAGUUUGAUGAAGACAUAUUUGAACAUGAAUACCUAACUUUAGAAGAAUGAACCUGUAUAGAAAUAUUAUAAUUAGAUAGACCAAAGAGUUUAGAAGAAUUGUUACAAUUAGCAUAACAAACUAGGAUUAUAGGAGAAGACCCACAAUUACAUUUGAGUAAAAAUAAAAUACUAACAAAAUUAGAUAUAAUUAACCCAGAUUUAACCAUUAAGACGACUGAUAUGCUUUGUAGUCUAAUAGAUAAACAAGAGUUUGAGCAGCAAAUAAAAAGUUGUUAAAUUUAAAAGUAAUUAGACCCUCUAAGUCUAGACGUAGAUUAGCAUCAUUUAUUGUAAGAAAACAUUCAGAACUAAAGAAAUGUAAGGCUAGGAUAGUUUAUAAUUACAAGAGAUUAAAUGAUAAUACAUACGAAUAUAGUUAUAAAUUACCAAAUAUAGAUGAGCUUAUAAAUAAAAUUCAAGAGAGUAAAUAUUUUAGCAAAUUUGAUUGUAAAUCAGGUUUUUGGCAAAUAAGAUUAGCAGAAGAAUCAAUUGAGUGGACAACUUUUACUUGUCCAAAAGGACAUUUUGAGUGGCUUGUUAUGCCAUUUGGACUUAAAAAUGCUCCAUUGAUCUUUCAAAGAAAGAUGGACCAAAUUUUCAAGAAAUUUGAUAAUUUUUGUAGUGUUUAUGUAGAUGAUAUUUUAGUACAUAGUAAAAAUAAAAAUGAACAUAGGAAGUAUUUAGAGAUAGUAUUACAAGAAUUUAUCAAUAAUGGAAUUGUGAUUAGCAAAAAUAAAAUAGCAUUGGAAAAGCAAGAUAUAGAAUUUUUAGGAAUGUAUAUCAAGUCAGGUACAAUACAAUUACAAGAUCAUAUAACUAAAAAGGUGUUAGAAUUUCCAGACAACUUAGAAGAUAAGAAAUAGUUACAAGCAUUUUUAGGAUUGCUAAAUUAUGCAAGAAAUUUUAUCCCUGAUUUAGGAAGAAAAAUAGCAGUAUUACAUAGUAAAAUUAGCAAAACAGGGCAAAAAUAUUUUAAUAGUGAAGAUAUUAAAUUAGUUCAAAAAAUAAAAGAAGAAAUUACUAAACUUAAGUCAUUAAUAUUACCAUUAGAUGAUAGUUACAAGAUAGUUGAAACAGAUGUUUCAUCAUUAAGGUGGGCAGGUAUACUAUACCAGAAAAAGAAUAGGGAGUCUCCAAAGUCUGACGAACAAGUUUGUAGAUAUUCCUAAGGAAAGUUUAGUGAUGUACAGUCAAGAUUACCAUCAACAGAUUUAGAAAUUUUAGGAUAAUUAAUUCACUUGAAUCAUUUUCUUUAUUUUUACAUAAUGAAGUAUUUACGAUUAGAACAGAUUGUUAAAAUAUAGUUUCUCAUUAUAACAAGAUACAUGCUAAUAAACAGGCAGCCGAAUAUGGGUUAAUUUUGUUGAUUCAAUUGCAAGAAAUGGUUUUAAACCAAUUUUUGAACAUAUAAAAGGUAAUGACAAUACAUUAGCUGAUAUCUUAUCAAGAUUAAUUUGUUGAACAAGUAUGGAAUAUCGUGGACCAUCAUUAGCAAAUAGCACAAGGCUGCAAGGCAGAAGAGUUUCUUUCAAUAGCAUGAUGAUGCACCAUCAACCUCCACCAUUCAAUGGAUUUAAAAAUAGCAUGAGCAGACCAGCAUCACCACCAGUACCUAUGUUCAACUUUAAUGGCAAUAUUGUUGAAGGAAUCAGAAAUCCAACUUUGAGAUAUAGAUCAAGGGUACCAGGGCUUUCUGAUAGGCAGCAGGUUCUCUUAGAUAAUUUUUGGAAUAUCCAUAUUAAGCAGCCAAGCAUGAGGUUAUGUCAUGAAAAAUUAAUUAGAGCAUUGGAGCAAGAGUUUGAUAGCUUUAAUUUUAAUUUCCACCAAAACCAACAUCAUAUUCAUUCUCUUGAGCACAACCUUCAAGUCAUCUUUAGGGACCACGAGUCAUUGCUUGGUAAGUUUACCAAAAUGAACCAAGAACUCCAAUAUCUUAUAAUGCAGCAAAAGGCAAGUGACACCUUGAAAAAAGAAUUAAAAAUAGGUUUAGAAAUUGAUUAGCAUAAGGAUAAAGGAAAAAAAGGUUAUUGAACCCAUAGAACAAGAGGCUAAUGAGCCCAUAGAAGAAAUUAAGAUUGAGCUAUUAGAAGAAGACGUUGAAAUGGAGCAACAUCAAAGUAAUGAGCAGCAUCAGGUUCUGAGUGACAAAGAAAAACAAGAAAAAUAUGAAAGUUUUCUUAGGAAUAUAUCUUUAGACUUAAUAUUAGAUGAUGUUUUAUUAGAUAAAAUUUCAAAGGCAAAACUAAGAAUAAUGUCAACAUAUAUGCAAAAUGAGAUCCUGAGCAGAGCAUCAUAGUCUAUGAAAGAGUUACAAUUACAAUUACAAUGUGCCUUGUAUCAGUCCAUCUUUGAUCUAAAACCAGGGAUGUAUAUUAUUACAAAGAUGUAUCCUCCAUGUCUUUGUGAUAGUAUAGAUAAUUGUAUUUGUAAACCAGAGGUUAGCGUAGCUGUGGCCAUGAUUAACAUGAGAGAUUUUAAAUCAUGGCAUUUUAGUUAUGAGCAUCAGAAAAAGCAUAAUGUGGCAGAAGUUACCCCUGCCUUACUAUUAGAGUUUGGUUAUCUCAAUUAAAUAUUUAUUAACCGUAUUUCUCAAUUAGAAUCAUUUCUUGAAAAGCUUAUAAAAGUAGCAGAAGAUUAUCUAAAAAGGUGGAAAGAAAUUUGCAUAAGUUUUAUUAGUAGUCCUCUAGAUUGGUAUGUACAUAUGCAUAAGGAGAAAGCUAGACAUAUAGCCAUGAUCAAUGAAGAGUCCUUUAGACUAACCCUUAUUUCCUCACAUAGGUGGACUCCUUCAUACAAAAAUAUUUUAAAAUUUAGAGGGAUCCAAAUGUUUGCCUUAGAUGAGUUUGAAGAUUUUAGGUAUAACAUGGUACUAGUAGCAGAAGAAGAAGAGAUGUAUAUUUACAGCAAGACAAGGAUCAGUCAUUAGCCUUAUUGGAAGCCCCAAAAUUUCAAAGAAGAAAUAGCAGAAAUAUACUACAAGGUGAAAGAAGAUAGAGAAAGAGAUGUGGAGUUAGUAGAAGGCGAUGAACAGUACUGGAAUAAUUUGACAGAAGAAGAGCUGCAUAACAUCGACAACAUGAUGGAAGCCUGAAGAGCUAGCUGUAAAUUAGCAUAAGUUUAAUAGCAUAAUGUAAAAUAAUGUAUUCCCAGACAGAAAUGUCAACAUCAUUGUGGACCCCGCUGUAAUGGCAUAAGAGUAAAUAAAGAAAAGAACAUGAUCCAUUAUGGACUUUUUAUACACAAAAUAUCCUUUUGAUUAAGAAUGAAUAGUUCCAAGCCAUUUUCGUUAGAACUCCCAUUAAUAUAAGCAAAGCAUAGGCAAUCAAGUAAACGAUCAAAUAUUCAGAUUCAUCAUAAUAAAGAAUCAAACCACGUUAACCAAUAUAUUCCACCCAUUACAACAUUACCCUAAAAUUGAAUCCAUAAAUCCCUAAAAGAUUGAAUCUCUAAAUCCUUAAAAUAUUUCAAAUCCUAAGUCCAUAUAGUAAUCCAGAAACCCCUAAAGGAUUAACUCUCUAAAUCCCUAAUAUAUUUCAAAUCCUAAAUCCCCAGAUGGAGCAUGGAUUUGAAAACCCUAAUUCCAUUUACAAACAAGUUUACAAAUAAAAUUAUAGGAAAAAGAAGACGGAGAAGCUAGAGAAGCAGUGACCUAACUUGUAAGUAGGGAAAGAAUAUAUUGCCUUGCCAAGCUCGCCUGCCAGUCGCCACCAAGUGGGACCGAAAGAGGAGUUCCUACCCAGUACGCCAAAUUCCAAUCAUUUUUCUAUUGUUACAGUACUACUAUUAUGUUCAUUAAAUGAAUGAACGUUUGGAUUAACUGCAUCUGACGGCUAGGAAAAAUACUAGAGUGAAGAAGAUAGUAAUUUUGUAUAUGUGUGUAAAACUAUAGUUACAUGUAGGUGUGGAAAAGAAAAAAAAAUUAUUGCCUAUGAUAUUUUUUUUUUAUAUAUUUUUAUUGAAUUUGAAUUGAAAAUUUUUGGGGUCCUUCCGAAACGGGGCCCUGGGCGGGCUCCUACUUCGACUACCCUCAAGGUCAAUCUUAAAGUUGAGUACUUGUUUGGAAUGUUUAAAAAGGUUGAGACCAAUUUGGAAUAACACUAAAAGAUUAGAAGAAUUGAGAUACUUAUCCUAAAAAGUGUAUAUACACAUAUAUUAAUUCGAAUGAAAUAGUAUGUUAAGUAUGAAUAGACCCGGCAGUUUCUGACACGACACGAAAAUAACGGGUUUCAGGUCAACACGAUAACUUAUUAGAUCAUUAUCGGGUGACCCGUUAAUAACGGGUUCUUAACGGGUACACACGCGGGGAACACGUGGGUAUCCCGUUUUGACCCGUUAAGAAAAAAUUUAUUUUGAUAAUUUUAAAGUUUAAUUACUAAAAUAUAUACAAUAUAUUCUAUAUUAAAUAUAUAGUUUUGUAUUAUUAUUCUAUAUAAGUUUCAAAAAAAAAGGUUUAGUCAUUAUUUAUUUUUAUUAUGAGAGUUCCUUAUUAUCAUUACUAGGAUAAAUUUUACUUAACAUGUUGUUGUCCAAAAUUAAAAUAAACGAAUAUAGUAUUUGUAUAGGCAAGAACUAAGAAGAUAUACAUACAAGUAUGAAAAAUGUGAAAGAGUAUAUAAACACUCGUGAUUCAUCAUUAUUCCUCAACGAGUAGAUAAUGGUCAUACUUACAUCAUAGUUUAGAUUUUUAAAAUCCUCCAAACCUUCACAAAUAAUGUUUUUUAUUUGAGGGCAAAAUUAAUAAAAUUAAUAAAAUUAUUGUAGAAGUGUAAAAAAUGUAAAAAAAAAAUAUACAAUCAAUCAUAGUGACAAACUUUACAACUUUCAUGAAGGGGUCAGCUUCGAAAUCCAACGCUAUAAUUCAUAAACCUUAAAUUUAUAUUUAACCGUCGAUUACCAUUUACGCUUUAUUCUUCUUACUGGAUUUCAUUUUUUAAAUUUUCUUUUUUGAAAACAUGAUCAUCUGGCGGAUGUAAGAAGAUGAACGGUUCAGAUCUUUGAUAUCACGUUUUGAUAUUUUGGUUUAACUGAAAUAUGAGUCGAUGUCAUAUAGUUUGUAGAAACUUUAUAAACAUCAAGCAAUAUUUUCACUAACCGUAAAACUCUGAAUAUAAUAUCAAUGAUCCAAACCGUUCAUCUUCCUGCAUCCUCUAAUAGAUCAAGUUUUCAAAAAACAAAUUCUAAAAAAACAAAAUUUGAUGAGUGUUUAUAUAUUUUUUCUAUAUUUUUGAUCUAUGAUUUAUAUGAUUAUAGUGGCAAAUUUCGAAGUUAAGCUCUUCAUGAAAGUUGUAAAGCUUGUCAUUACGAGUGUUUAUAUAUUUUUCUAUAUUUUUUUUACAGUUCUACAUUAAUUAAAAAACUAUUAAAGACUUUAGGUAAGUGAAAUAUACUUAAAAGAAAAAUGCGAUUUUAUGUUUUGGAUGUGACAAUAUGAUAUGUAUAUACUUAUUUAGUUUUAUGUUUUUCAUUUGAUUAUUUAUUGGUUUAAAAUAUAUUUUCCUUAACGGGUAACGGGUCGGGUUAUAUUACCUGUUAAUAUUAUCGGGUCGAUUUCGGGUCGGGUCAUUUUACCCAUUUAUUUUAACGGGUAUUACACGACACGACCCGUUAAGAUAUCGGGUAUGUCACGAAAACGACACGAACACGGAAAACACGACACGAAUGCUAGGUCUAAUUAUGAGUAUCCUAUAUACUAAAAAAUCACUAACAAUAAAGAAGUUUUGAACAUAUUUCAUUUUUCUCAGAGAGCACGCGUGUGCAUGAAUCUGCCUCCCACUGAUCUAUUGGUUUCCCAUGCUAGGAUGCGACUUUGUGUUUUGCUUUUGCAUCUUCAGUUUUCAUCACUUAGAUUAGAUUAGAUUUGAUGUACCUGGAUAAGGUGGAUAACAACGUACGAUCGACCAAUUUCCUCCUAUUACACAAUUUAGAAGAUCAUCAUGCAUCAACUCCAAAAGAUUUUGAGUGUCUUGAUAACAUCGUUUACAUCGUGUUAUUAAUUUUACGUGUUAUAAUUUUACAUGAGCAAAAUGCGAAAUUUAUACUUUAAAUUAUAACAAGUUGCAUAUAAUUAAUAAUUUAAAACAGAUUGAUUGGUAUCAGGUGGUGGGAUUAUGGUCAUACGCAAAAAAUUCAACCACAUGCCCUAAUUUCUCUAUUAUGAAUUUUUAUUUUUUAUUUUUAUUUAUAAAUUAUUAUUGUCAAAGAAAAAGAGUAGGAUUCAGACAUAUUACAAUAAUUUGAAGAGAGGGCAUUUCACAUCCAAAAUGUAUUGGUAGAAAUUUAACAUCUUUUUCAUUAAAACGUUGGACUACAUACACAUUUUUUGACUUGAUGAACUAUGAUAUUGGAGUAUUAUAUUAUAUAGAAAAUUGUAAAAAGAAGAACCAAAGUGGAAACAUCGAGAAAGUGAAUUGGUUUUGGACCUUUUUGGUUAAGUCUUCCAUGGAUGUUUAGGGUCAUGCACGUGUAGUACUUUUGUUAUCUCGUCUUAUUACAUAGUUCUAUUGUAUAUGGUGGGUUAGCUUUGAUAUCACAUCGGUAACAUAACACAUUUCAUAAGAGUUUGAAUGAUCUUAGAGUUCUGUAUCACUAGUAAAUUAAUUUUGAGUUGAAUGUUCAUAUUUUAGCACACACGUAGAUUCUAUCAAUCUAGCAGAUUACAAAGAGACAAGGAUCUGAAUUCUUCUAGCUUAUUAUUAUUAUUAUUUUAAUAAUAAAAAAAAUGACCAUUUGGUGGUGGAGCCACAACAAUCCAUUAUUUUAAGUGUUAGAAAUACUCAAAGAUGCAUUUCAGUUUCUUCUGACUACCAUCACAUGAUUCACCAACACCAGAAAUCAAACUUAGGACGAGCUGUGUAAAAUACAGGCAUGAAAUUCGCCUCAACCAUUGAGCCGCCGGUGGUGGUUUCUAGGUAAUAUAUAAAGUGCUAUAAUUUGUAGUAUGAUUAGAUUAGAUAUGGUGUGCACGCACGCGUGCAUUGGAAACAAAUGUACGUCCACACAUUUUUGGAUAUGUAAUUGUAAGAUUGUUGGAUUUCCAAGUUGUUGUCUGCUUAGUGUUUUUGUUACUGUUCUAUCUAUUACGUGACGAUUUCAUCUCAAAUCUCUAUGACAUAAUGUAUAGGUGCCUCUAAAAAUGUUAUAUUUCUUUCUGUUGAGCUAGAAUUUUGAACCCAUGAAAUCAGAGUCCACGAGUGUUUGAACCCUUUUUUAUUUUGGGCCUCUUGGCCUCAAUUGAAAAGUACCGUUUCAAAGGCCCAAAUCUUUGUUACUGCACUUUAUCGUUGUGCUUUCAUGUGGGGAGCCAAGAGGAAUCGAGAAGUAGGGGGCGGUGAUUCCGGCGAAGAGGCCACCAGAGAUGUUAUACCGAACAUGGGAGUAGUUGUGUCUGAAAAUACCAUUCCGGUGUAAACAAAUUUCUAAAUACCAAACCAAUCUUCGUGUUUUUACCUCGUUAACCAAUUUAGCAACCGUAUUAAGACUAUUUCUUAAGGAAUGUGUUAUCCACAUACCUCUUUUUACUUCAUACACACCUUCUUAAUUUGUAACCGUCAGAUCGAUUGAAUUAAAGAAGAUCAAAUGACAAUAAUUAACAAGGAAUGUGUGAGAAGUAAAAAUGUGUGUGUAGAUAGCACACCCUUUUCGUAAAUGCAGUUCAUUAAGACCUAUCCUAAUUUUCAACCAUGAUGCAAAAUUGGGAACUCAUUAAAAAGCUUUUACUAGUGCACAUUACAACUACAGAACCAAUACAAUUGAAUAAAAACUGUUAGAUCAAUUAAUCUUAUGGUUUUUAUUCAAUUUUGCAGAUUAAUUUUGUUACACAUGCCCAACUUGACUUUUCACUACAAACUGCUUUGGUAAGAAUGUCAGCUAUUUGAUCUUCCGUUUUGAUUGGAGGCAUUUCAAUUAUUUUACCUUCUAGCUUUUCUUUAAUAAAGAACUUGUCAACCUCUACAUGUUUAGUUCUAUCAUGUUGCACCGGAUUAUGAGCAAUAUCGCGAGUAGCCUUAUUAUCACAAAACAACUUCAUCGGUUGACUAUAUUUGACACCCAAAUCUUGUAGUAGUAGUUUAAGCCAUAAAAUCUCACAAAUACCAAGAGCCAUACUUAUGUAUUCCGCUUCUACAUUCGACUUGUGAUACACCCCGAUUGAAGUCAAGGCAUGCUGGCUGACACCCGAAGGUGACGUAGCCAUAAGAUAAGUUAUGUAUAAAUGUGGAUAAAUUUAAAACAAAGCUAAAAUUUAUUUAAGCUAAUAAAGAGUGUGCACAGUAGUAGAAAGAACCCAUAAAGCGUAACUAGUCAGAGCAUAAAUAACAAUACGACACAAGUAAAGCAGUCGAAACUAGUUAAGGUACUUAUUACACAACCAGAAAUAAACUCCUACAUUUAUUUGGGUGCGUCACAGAAGAUUCAGCUAAUUAAGUCAUGGAAGGGCAAAAAACAAAAUGUUUAUGAAACACAUUUCCUUUUUGAACAUACUAACCCCUCACCGUAAAUCAAGUAUAAUUUCCAGAAAAUUAUACUACGUAUAAGUAUGAAAUCAAAGGUAUUUCAACAAUAAUUCAAGGAACAUUCAAUUCAUAAUAUCUCAACUGCGGCAUAAGAAAAUCAAGUUCUCAUUAGUAAAUCAAGUGCUCAUCAGUCUAUGCUAACACACGAGUUCAUUCAGAGAAAUUCUGACAUGAACAACAUUGGGUGUAAUCAUAAUAUAUAUGCUCUAGUACUAUAAUCACGUGAAAAUUGACGCUAUGCGUAUCACAUACGAGUCCUAGUUGCCCAUUGCAACCUAGGACAUGACAGGCACCUACAAUGGAUCCAAGGUGAGCAUACGGUGUAAUGUGAACAUACACAUGAAGCCUCAGCCCUUUUUUCGAUGUCUCGUAACCGUGUGUUUUCACGUUGGCUUAACUUCAAACUUAGGCUAGGGACAUCGAGGAGUUGUGUAGUAGCUUCUAAACCUUCCAAAACCUUGUAACUCGAACGGAAAGUCAUCAGAGAAUUUACACUAGAGUCGGAGCUUCGAGUUAGACAUUCAAAACUUGGUUACUUUUGAAUAUGUUCAUAUGGAUGGACUCGUGGGGAUGAGAGGAACACGAUGGUGAUGAUUUGAAGUUUAAUUUACUAUGAUGAUGGUGUUUAUGUUGCAGAGAGAAGAAAGGUAUACGGUUUGAGAGAGAGAAAAUGUCUGAAUGAUAAGGGAGUAAGUGUCUGAUUGCUAUAUAAAAAAAAUUAAAGGAAUGAUUACUGAUAGAAAUAAUGGGAUGAAUCUUCGGUUAGUGUGGUAGGUAUGGUGGAUUUCUGGCCGAUUUUUAAAGUUGGAAAGGAUCCAACUUUCAUGAUUUGAAAAAUACAGAAACGUAACCCAUUAAUACACUACAUUGUUAAUUAAUACUGCAUAAUUUGUACAUUCAUGUACAAUUUUAUCCGUUGUUAACGUACUUUAACUAAGCAUAACUUUUUCGUUACAAACCCGAUUUGGGUUUAGUUAGCGCUCACGCGUCCGUUAUAACGAGUAAUAUUUAAUUAAGAUAAUACGAAAAAUAAAGUAAAUGCUGAAUGACAACGUCCACGUCAGAUUCCACUUUACUAACAAGGGUAUAAUUGUCAUUUUACAUACUCAGGAAGGAAAUUACAUAGAAAAUUAGGGACUGGUCGCCAUAACCUUGCUAGUACUCCCUAUUUCUUGCUUCUCUAAGUAACCAGAUUUCCACCAACAAAGGUGAAGUAACCUGAUGUUGAGCGCAUAUCAUCACUUGAACCGACCCAAUCAUCAUCCGUAUAACCUUCAAUACUAAAAUGACCAUUUUUUAAAAUAAAAUCCCUUUCCUUGGACUUCCUUUCAAAUAACUUAAUAUUCUCAUAACUGCAUUCAUGUGUUUUUCUCCUGGAUCAUGAAUAACUUAAUAUUCUCAUAACUGCAUUCAUGUGUUUUUCUCCUGGAUCAUGAGCAAGGUUUGGUCUAAUAUGUGUCAAAUACAUUAACCUUCUGGUCUAGUAUAUGUCAAAUACAUUAACCUUCCCACAAACCGUUGUUACCUCCUUUUAUUUACCGGUACUUGGUUUAAAUCAAUUCCCAGCUUCAUUCCUUCUGCAAACGAAGUAGUCACAGGUUUGCAUGUUAACAUACCAGUUUCUUUUAACAGGUCAAUAAUAUACUUUCUAUGUGACAGGAAGAUUCUUGACUUGCUUCUUGAUACCUCAAUCUCGAGAAAAUAUUUUAGAGGCCCAAGAUCAUUCAUCUCGAAUUGUGUACUUAAAUAUUUCUGCAAGGCUACACGCUCAUCCGGAUCAUUACCGAUAAAUACCAUGUCAUCCACAUAUACAAUGAGUGAUGUAAGCUUUCUAUUCCAACGUUUCAAGAACAACAUUGAUAAUAGUUACUUUGCUUAUAUCCAAAUGCUCUCAUAGACUUGGUAAAUCUACCGAACCACGAUUUUGGGAUUGCUUCAACCCAUACAAUGAUUUUUGAAGCUUGCACACCUUUUGUCUAUGCAUUUAUGGAAAAUUACUCUCUGGUAGGAGUUCCAUGUAAAUCUUUUCUGUCAAAUCCCCAUGCAAGAAUGCAUUCUUCACAUCGAAUUACUGUAAUGGCCAAUUAAGAUUUGCAGCCAAGGACAACAAAACAUGGACUGUAUUGAUCUUGGCCACAUGGGCAAAUGUAUCUAUAUAGUCAAUUCCAUAUUUUUUUAGUGUAUCAUUUUUACUAGUCUUUCCUUGAAGCGAUUCAUCGUCCCACCAGCUUUGUACUUCACUGUACUUACCCAUUUGCAUCCCACAGGUUUCUUGCCAGCUGGCAAGUUUGUGGUCUCCCAGUUAGCAUUCUUCUUCAAAGACUUCAACUCUUUAUUCAUUGCUACUUGCCAACGUGGAUCAGCUAAAGCCUCAUGCUCACUAUUAGGAAUAUAUACGAUAUAUAAUUGAUGCACAAAUGACUUAUUUGAUUCUGACAGGUGACUGGUAAACACAUAAUUACUUAACAUGUAUAACACAUUAGACUUAGGGUUAAGAUUACUCAUCGGAUACCUAGUUUUGCAUUUAGGGUUAGCUUUAUAAGUAAGUUUAGGAAUACCUCGGUUGACGCAAUCAGGGAGAUGACAUGGUGGUGGUGUAUCCGAGAUCAAAGAUGAUUGAUUAUGGUUAUUGGGACUCAAGAUCGAAUGUGAGGUAGCUAGCGACACAUGACUGUCUGGUGGUGAGGAAAUUGGCAGUGAGUUAUCUGGCGAUGUCAACUAUUCCCUUUCAAGAUUUUCAACAUUGUUCCCAUAUGAAUGAUCACCACUUGUCUCUAAGACAUUGCCACUUAGUUCUAAUUCAUUCACAUCAUUGUUUUCAUGUGAAUGAUCACCACUUAUUUUCAAGACAUCACCACUUAAAUCCAAAUCAUUCACAUUAACUAUAUGUGGAAUAGUAUAAUCAAGAGUUUGAACUUCUGUCUGAUUCUCCCCCUGAAGUGAAGACUCAGGAUUGGCAAAGUACAUAUCAUUCUCAUGAAACGCAACAUCCAUAGUGACAAACAAUUUUUUCGUCAAAGGGUGAUAAUAAGGAUACCCCUUUUAAUUUGAGGUAUACCCUACAAACACUCACAGUAAUGCCCGAGGUUCAAGCUUACUUCUCUGCUGUUUAUGAAAAUGAACGAAAGCCACACAACCAAACACGUGAGGUGGAAAAUUAGGAACUGUAUGAACAUCAACAUAUGAAGAAAGAGUCUGGAGUGGUGUCUGAAAGUCGACUAAUCCAGAUGGAACAUGAUUCAUGAGAUACGCAGCUGAGGUAAGAGUUUGUCAUAAAAAAGAUAACGAGAGACGCAUCUCUAGCAAAAAAACACAAACAACCUUUAGAAGCUAACUGUUCUUGCAUUCUGCAGCACCAUUUUGUAGUGGAGUAUAUGGACAUGUAGUCUAAUGAACAAUACCAUAAUGAUCAAGAAAGGCCCAAAUUUCAGAGUUUACAUAUUCGCUGCCAUUGUCACUCCUGAGAACCUAUAUUUGUGACUUAUAUUGUACUUGUACCAUUUUGUAAAACUGCUAAAACAAAAAAGUAAAUUCACUUUUGGACUUCAUUAAACAAACCCAAGUCAUACGUGUGCAGUCAUCAAUAAAAGUAACAAACCAAUGAGCAUCACAAAGUGUAGCAAUUUUAGAUGGUCCCCAAACAUAAGAAUGAAUUAUCAUAAACGAGAUUGAACUUUUAUUCAAACUAGGUGAAAACGAAGUACGGUGACUUUUAGCCAUUUCACAAACAUCACAUUUAAAGUUAGAAAUAUCAUGCUUAACAAAUAGGCUAGGAAACAAGCUCCGCAUAUAGCCGAACGAAGCAUGUCCAAGUCGACGAUGCCACAACCAAAUCUCUGAAGCUUUAGUCUUAUCCGCCUGAUUUCCUUCCACUGCAAGAGCUUGAGUCAAUCCAAGAACUGUUCGAUAUCAGCUCCAAGUAGUAGAGCUUCCUCUUCCCAAUACUAUAACCAAUCGUCUUGCGAGUCUGAAUGUCCUUUAAAACACAAAAAAGGCCAAAAAAUCACAAGACAAUUGAGGAUGACAGUUAUUUGAGCAACAGAUUAUAAAUUAUAGUCAGGAGAAGAAACAACGAGUAUAGAAUCAAGAUUCAGGGUAUCAGAAAAUGAAACAUCGCCUUCCUCGAUAAUAGGGGCAACAUUACCAUUGGCAACACUCACGACAAUUUUGGGAGAUGGUUUUAGGGUUUGUACUUGUCUAGAAUCACAAGUCAUAUGUUCAGUAGCACCAGAAUCAAUUAUCCAUGUAUUAUUUGUAACCGAUGCAGAAACCUUUAAAGUUUUACCAUCAUUAAUUGUAUGUUCAAAAUGUACCUUAGUUUUAGCAAUUAAUGCAUGCGACUUAUUACAACGGGGAUCACGAGUCUUAUCCCAAUUAACAGGAUAGCCAAUAAGUUCAAAAAAUCUUUUAAAUGCCCUUUCAAACUAUAGUGAGAGUACUUGUUGGGUAGACAUUAGAACAAACCAAGAGUCGAAAUAUCUUCCUUUGGUUUGAUCUCAUUGCAAGCCAUUAAAUUGUAGCGUAAAAAAUGGUGAAUAGCGUGGCUUCAAGUGGAAGGUGGGACAACCUUCCCCAUUGCAAAAGAAAAAACCCAUUUUUUUUCUUCAUCAUGGGGCUUUCAAAACAAGCGCAAGUGCAGAUGAGAAGCAAUAGACUAUAGCGACAUGUGCAGAUUUAGAUCAAGAUGAUGAUGUGGGUCAAAUUGAUUUCAGUCAUAUAGGUUUGUGCAACAAUGAUUUCAGGCAAGGUGUUCCCGUCGAUUCAGCAGUAGAAGCAGUGAAUCGACAACUGGGUUGGCGUCAGUAUUGCAGCAGCGAUGAUUCGAUGUCGGUUCGUGAGCUACGAGGCAUGCGAGCUUCGAUCUGAGCGUGAUGCAGUAGUGGAUCAUGAUGGAUACGGGAUUGGGACGGUGGACUCGGGUCAGCAAUGACGGCGUCGCUUGCUCGUUGGAUGGCACAACACAACUGGUAUGUGACUAUGAGUUCUGUUCUGCGCAUAGUGCGCAACUUUUUUUUUUUAUUAUUAUUAAACCUAGGCUAUGGUGCCAAGAAGAGAAUGCUUUGAAUGAUAUGUUUAUUCUUCUCAUGAAGAGGUAUAAUAUACAAUAUUAAUCCUAACCAAAUAGGAAAGAAUAAUUACAGGAGAUUACAAAGAGAUUUCUCCCAAAUUACACGGGAUCCAUCCUAAACUAGGAAAUCCUAAAUUAUAGGAAAUACAAGUCAACAUAAAUAUUUGAAAGAAUUUUUUUUUUCAACUAGUUGUAUUAUGACAUUUGAUAUACUGAGCCGUGUUACUAGUACAUUGAAAAAUUGAUCUAAAACAUGAGCUCAAGGAGAAGCCAACUUGUUCCAUUACAUCACCAUUUGCUUGCACAUUAGGUUCCUUGUGACAAAGAAGCUUUCACAUCACAUCACUUCAAUGAGUCAUCCAUCUCUAUGCAGCCUGGAACCGGAUCCCCUCCGGACCCAAAGGAAUUGAGCUUAAGGAUCAAAUGAUUCUAACCAUUGAAAUUUAAUUCAAUGGCUACAAUUAUUAUAACUUUAGAGGGACUUCCUGUUUGUAGUCGUUGAUUUCAAUGGCCCAGAUCAUUUGAUCAUUGGACUCAGUUUCUUUGAGUCCGGAGGGGAUCCAGUUCCAUGCAGCCUAACUAAUCAUAAUUUCCAAUUUCGUUUUCAUACCCAAAAAUAAUUAAGUUGGACCAACAUUUUUGAGAAAAUUGGGUGUGACACAGUGACGUUUCGUUUUUAUUUUUUUGGAACUUUAACGAAAAGCUCCCGGUAUUGUUCACUUUAACAAAAAACCACAUUUUUACACUAAAAAGUCAAUCCUGAUACUAUUCACUUUACCCUUUAUUUUGUCCUUAUCGUUAAAACUCAAAGUUUUCAAACCCUUUUCAUUAGUUUUUUUUUUUUUGUGGUGGUUUAUUUGUUUGUACCACUAGGCUCAUGGGUGGUUCAAAACUGACCAGGUCUUGCUUGAGUCAUCUGGGGGUGUUACGAUAUGGACCCUCUACUUUGCUAUCUCUACCGACCCACUCUUUAAAAAUUGCGGUCAAAUAGGAUUCUGUUGAGAAAUUUUUCAGUGUGUUAGGAAUACAGGCACAUACGCAAUAUGUCAUUAUAUGAGUAUAUGAACACUUGAAAAAAAAAAUUCUUCUAUUUGUAUAAUAACACAUGACUUUACGCGCUACGUCUCGUACCCCAUUAAAAAUUCUCUCCACUUUUGGCACCCAAUUUUGACCACACAAAAGCUCCAGCUUAUAAGAUCAUAAUUAACUUGUGUUUUAUUCUGUUUUCGACCAAGUUAUUCUGUAUUAGUAGAUGUUAAUCAUGAUUAGUAGGUUAAUUAGUUGACUUUGGUUACUCCUCUAAGCUUCCCAUCAACUUUGCACACACAAGUUACAUCCUUCAAUUGUCAAAUGCUUAAUCAAAUUUGAUGUGCGGGGGUAAAAAAAAAAUAAAUGUCACAUCUCGGCCUAAGCCCCCACCACAUCCCGGGCUCGACUCCACCAUAGCAUGAUAUUGUCCGUUUUGGCCUCCGACCACGCCCUUACGGUAUUGUUUCUGAGAACUCACACGAGAACUUCCCAGUGGGUCACCCAUCAUGGGAUUGCUCUCGUGCGAACUCGCUUAACUUCAAAGUUCCGAUGGAACCCGAAGCUAAUGAACUCCCAAAAGGCCUCGUGUUAGGUAGAGAUGGGAAUAUACAUAUAAGGCUUACAUGAUUCACUCCCCUGGGCAAUGUGGGUUGUCACAAUCCACCCCCCUUAAGGGCCCGACGUCCUCGUCGGCACACCCUUGGCUAGGGAUUGGCUCUGAUACCAAAUUGUCACAUCUUGGCCCGGGCCCCCACCACGUGCCAGGCUCGACUCCACCAUAACACGAUAUUGUCCGUUUUAGGCCCCGACCACGCCCUCACGGUUUUGUUUCUGGGAACUCACACGAGAACUUCUCAGUGGGUCACCCAUCAAGGGAUUGCUCUCGCGCGAACUCGCUUAACUUCGGAGUUCCGAUGGAACCCAAAGCUAGUAAACUCCCAAAAAGCCUCAUGCUAGGUAGAAAUGGGAAUAUACAUAUAAGGCUUACAGAAUCCACUCCCCUGGGCGAUGUGGGAUGUCAUAAUAAAAGCUUGGUUAAAGCCGUGAAAUAUUUCUAAAUUUUGAGCAGGCGACCAUCUAAUUUUUCGAUAAUAUUUUAUGUUAUAAUAGUUUCAGAUAUAAAGUCAUCUUAUUUUUAUUGACAAAUGAACAAAAUAGUGUUUUUUUUUAAUAAACGAUAUUAUAUACACUAAUAGAGAGGGGAUGAGCUUAGUCUCACAAUGGGCUAGCAAUAAUGUGGUUCAAAUUCAUCUUUGACGAGAAUCGAACCUAAAACCUCUAACUUACAAAGUAAAGAUGAAUUCUACUAAAUUGUAGUACCAAGUGACAUGAACAAAAUGGUGUUACAUCUUAAGUAAUUGAAAAUCAGUUUUUUUUAUAUGCAAACAACAAUUUUCAUUACUGAAAUAUAUUGGUUAGAUUAAUUCCUUGUAUUGACCAUAUUUUUUGGGUCGUGCUGUCACACACUCAUUUUUACUUCUCAGACACCAUUCUUAAUUUUCGGUCGUCUGAUUGGUUGAAUUGAAGAAGAUCAUUGUCCAAUCCCAAAUGACCCCAAAAUGAAAUGGGAACUAAUUCUCACAUCCUUUUGAGCUUAUCAUACACCCCUCUUACUUAAAAUCAUUGAAGGGAAUAAAUCAAACUAAGCAACCAUUGAAAGUAUGUGAGAUGCUAAAAAGAUUGUGUAUCUAUUGUUUUUUAAUGAAAAAAGAAAAGAAAAAAUAAUUAGUUGGGUGGAGACUUUGGUAAACGGUAAACCCAACAGGCUAACGCAACAAUUAGAAGGCUUUCACAAACACAGCUUAUGAACUGUUAAUUUGUCUGUGGAAACUCCAAGACUGGGCUCUAACUACAAGUGAUGCUCUUGCACAUGAAAAAUUACAAAUAAAAGCCCAAAAGGAACAAGAUAGGUUGGGUUAUUAUUUUGAUACAAGAAAUAUUGGGAGAGGAGAAAUGAAUUCGGAACAUCGAGUGUAAGAAUGAAUGAUCUUAAGCCGCUAAGCUACAUGUCCUCCGCAAUGAAAUUGUGUUCUUUUUGCCCAUUAUUAGCUUCAUUGGAAUGAAUUUUGUAUAUGAAGAACAGAUAAGCGUAAUUCGGUGCUCAUCAUAUCAUCUUCUCUAUAGCUCCAUUCGAUUUUGUAAGGACUUGCUUCACAUAUAGUGGAGUUGCCUGUCAGUUGAUUUGUGUUUACGAGGAAAAAAUAAUGGUGGUAGAUAACCUUACUCAUAAUCUCUCGUUAUCAUGGAUAGAUCAAUCUAAUUACUUAUUGUAUCAAUAUUUCACUUGUCUUUGUUCUUCUUAUACAAAUGAAACUAGGGAAAUGAGAAAUCUUUGGAAUUUCAAGUGUAUAACCACUUCAGCUACAAAUUUCUUUCGCAAAUUGUUACUCUCAAUCAUGUAGACCUCUUUCCGUUAACCAAUCAUAUUCCUCAAGACGAAACACAAUCAUAUUUUGGAACAUAGAGAACAUAUUUUUAAAAGUGAAAUGGAAAAAGCUGGAUAUAAGAAGUCGAGUACAAUUGCAGAAUUAAGGCAAAGAUUUCAACCCAAAGAAGAAAUAUCGUAAAGCACAAGAACAAUGGAAGAAGAAAAGGAGGAGGAUUGGGCCAUUGCUAAUUGACAAAAGAGGGCUACGUCAUCACGUGAUAUUCACGUGGAGAUUCUUAUCCUUCCAAAACUAGUUUCGCUCCAAAAGGACUAAUGUCCACAGGUAUUGGACCACGUGUCGCUAUCUCCAUGCUUAUUUACCUCAUCUUGAACCCGUCCCGCAGGAUAGAUUUUUUAACGCGUCCCGCAGGAUAGAUUUUUUAACGUAAUCAGUACACAAGAUGAUAUCCUAUGUAUCAUUAUACAAAUACUAAGAUAUAUGUGCUAAAAGUUAACAACUUCAAAUAUAAAAUUUCUCACCAAGUCACAACACAACACAUGUGUACCACUUGAAUUCUUCGCCUCGCAGCUAGUCCUCCCCUCCCGCCGCCCCCACCUACGACGCAAGGGCGUGGCGAAGCUUCCGAGCCAGCAUACCCGGGGCGCUCAGAUGGGGCAAGUGCCCUUCCGUCUCCAGAAUCACCACCGUGUUCCGACCGCCCAGGUGGUCCCUCAGGUAGUUCGCCACCGACGCCGGCACGGACACGUCCUUCGCCGUCUGGAUUAUCCAGCACGGCACUCGGACCAGCCCCAAAACCCCCCUCAGAUCGCUGUUGAACACGGUCCGAGAGACGAAAAGCGAGAUGUCGGGUCGCAUGUUGAACAGGGUGCGGCUGAAUUCUCGGACCGCUGUCGGGACGUCGGCCCCAACGGCCAGCGGGGCGAAGCCGUUGACCCAUGCCUCGUAAUUGGCCUCCAUUGCCGAAAAGACCCUCUCAAUCUCCUCCUGCUCGAAUCCUCCAUGGUAAUCUCGAUCGUUUAGAAACCUAAAUAAAAAAAAUUAAACAAUUGGGUUCUUCAAUUCGGAUGAAAUAUCCAAUUGGGUAUUAACAAUUUGAAGAAAUUUCUAGCUUUUGAGAAAAUGUGCGAAUUUUAAUUUUACCUCGGGGAAGCGCCGAUGAGUACGAGCUUGGAGAAGAGUUCGGGGCGGCGGAUGGAGGCUAGGAUGCCGAUCAUCGCGGAGACGGAGUGGCCAACAUAGGCGCAGCGGUUGACGCCAAGGGCAUCGAGAAUGUUGAGGAGGUCGUCGACGUAGGCGUCGAGGGUGGUAUAGCGGCGGAAGUCGAAGUAGUCCGGGUUGACGCUGCCGGCGCAGACGAGGUCGUAGAGAAUGACGCGGUAGUAUGGCGUGAAGUACUGGAGAAUGCGCUGCCAGGCGGACUGGUCGGUGCCAGAGCCGUGGGCGAAGACGACGUACUUGUCGCCGGAGCCAACGACGCGGACGUUGAGAGCGUCGAGGAUGGUGGUGCUGACCAUGUUGACUGUUAAAUUUUUGGGGGAGGAUUGAAGUCAAUGGGAAUUAGUUGGAGAGUGGUGGUGAGUGGAUUGUGGAGGAGUGGAUUGUGGAGGAGUGUUGCGGUAUUUAUAUUGGUAAGGGAGUAUCAAAAUCUUUGUAUGGAGGGAAGAAGAUUGGCAGCAUUUUGUUGGUUUGGGUGAGAAAUUUGAUGGAAAUUGUGACAGGUUUGUUUUUGUGUGCGAUGGAGCUUUGCGUUUUAUGCAGGAGUGACUGGUGAACAUAGAUUGUUUUAGGACAAAAGAUUUCUAUCAUGUGUGAUAAGGCUUGGACUGUGAUGGUUCUCUCACUUAGUUGGCAUUAACGAGGUGGCCCGUGUGUUCUUAGAUUAGAAAAAAUCGGUUAUAGUGAUUUAGACACAUGAAUUUAAGACUUCAGUUAGAAGAUGCGAUUAUGAGACGGAGUCUCAAGUCAAAAGGGAUACAGGAAGACCUGAGAAAACUUGGAAAAAGACAUAAGAAAAUAUAUGGAGUAUUUGGA